AUUGAACGCUGGCGGCAGGCCUAACACAUGCAAGUCGAGCGAGCGGCGGACGGGUGAGUAAUGCCUGGGAAUUGCCCAGUCGAGGGGGAUAACAGUUGGAAACGACUGCUAACACCGCAUAUGCUUGGAUUGCUCAGGGGGGUUUAGCUAGUUGGUGAGGUAAGGGCUAACAAAGGCCACGAUCCCUAGCUGGUCUGAGAGGAGGAGCGGCCACACGGGAACUGAGACACGGUCCAGACUCCUACGGGAGGCAGCAGUGGGGAAGAUUGGGCAAUGGGGGAAACCCUGAUGCAGCAAGGCCGCGUGAGUGAAGAAGGCCUUCGGGUGGUAAAGCACUUUCAGCGAGGAGGCGUUACUCACAGAGAAAGCACCGGCUAACUCCGUGCCAGCAGCCGCGGUAAUAC
rnacentral:rRNA from 1 species